GACGAACGCUGGCGGCGUGCCUAAUACAUGCAAGUCGAACGCUUCUUUUUCCACCGGAGCUUGCUCCACCGGAAAAAGAGGAGUGGCGAACGGGUGAAUAACACGUGGGUAACCUGCCCACCAGAAGGGGAUAACACUUGGAAACAGGUGCUACUACCGUAUAACAAUCGAAACCGCAUGGUUUUGAUUUGAAAGUCGCUUUCGGGUGGCGCAGAUGGAUGGAGCCGCGGUGCAUUAGCUAGUUGGUGAGGUAACGGCUCACCAAGGCCACGAUGCAUAGCCGACCUUAGAGGGUGAUCGGCCACAUUGGGACUGAGACACGGCCCAAACUCCUACGGGAGGCGGCAGUAGGGAAUCUUCGGCAAUGGACGAAAGUCUGACCGAGCAACGCCGCGUGAGUGAAGAAGGUUUUCGGAUCGUAAAACUCUGUUGUUAGAGAAGAACAAGGAUGAGAGUAACUGUUCAUCCCUUGACGGUAUCUAACCAGAAAGCCACGGCUAACUACGUGCCAGCCACCGCAGUAA
rnacentral:rRNA from 1 species